rnacentral:rRNA from 1 species
AUACGGAGAGUGCAAGCGUUAUUCGGAAUCACUGGGCGUAAAGGACGCGUAGGCGGGUUGGCAAGUCAGAUGUGAAAUCCUACAGCUUAACUGUAGAACUGCAUUUGAAACUGCUAACCUAGAGUAUGGGAGGGGGAGAUGGAAUUAGUGGUGUAGGGGUAAAAUCCGUAGAUAUCACUAGGAAUACCGAAAGCGAAGGCGAUCUCCUGGAACAUAACUGACGCUAAGGCGUGAAAGCGUGGGGAGCAAACAGGAUUAGAUACCCUAGUAGUCC